rnacentral:miRNA from 1 species
CGGCUCUGAUACCAGUUGAUG